UACGGGGGAGCAAGCGUUGUUCGGAUUUACUGGGCGUAAAGGGCGCGUAGGCGGUCAGCACAAGUCAGUUGUGAAAUCUCCGAGCUUAACUCGGAAAGGUCAACUGAUACUGUGCGACUAGAGUGCAGAAGGGGCAACUGGAAUUCUUGGUGUAGCGGUGAAAUGCGUAGAUAUCAAGAGGAACACCUGCGGCGAAGGCGGGUUGCUGGGCUGACACUGACGCUAAGCGCGAAAGCCAGGGAGCGAACGGG
rnacentral:rRNA from 1 species